rnacentral:rRNA from 1 species
UACGUAGGGUGCGAGCGUUGUCCGGAAUUAUUGGGCGUAAAGAGCUCGUAGGCGGUUUGUUGCGUCGGCCGUGAAAACCUGCAGCUUAACUGUGGGCCUGCGGCCGAUACGGGCAGACUUGAGUUCGGUAGGGGAGACUGGAAUUCCUGGUGUAGCGGUGAAAUGCGCAGAUAUCAGGAGGAACACCGGUGGCGAAGGCGGGUCUCUGGGCCGAUACUGACGCUGAGGCGCGAAAGCGUGGGGAGCAAACAAG